rnacentral:rRNA from 1 species
AAUGAACGCUGGCGGCAUGCCUAAUACAUGCAAGUCGAGCGAGCCGACGGGGAGCUUGCUCCUCUGACGUUAUCACCGGACGGGUGAUUCACACAUGGAUAACCUACCUAUCCGACUGGGGUAACUUCGGGAAACCGUAGCUAAUACCGGAUAAUAUAUUGAACCGCAUGGUUCAAUAGUUAAAGACGGUUUUUCUUACACUUAUAGCUUAAUCCGCGCCGCAUGAGCUAGUUGGUAAGGUAACGGAUUAGCAAGGCAACGAGGGGUAGACGACCUGAACGCGUGGUCGGCCAGACUGGAACUGAGGCACGGCCCAGACACCUGCGGGAGGCAGCAGUAGGGAAUCCUCCGCGAUGGGGGAAAGCCUGACGGAGCAACGCCGGGUGAGUCAUGAAGGACUUCGGAUCGUAAAACGCUGUUAGUAGGGAAGAACAAAUGUGUAAGUAACUAUGCACGUAUUGACGGUACCUAAUCAGAAAGCCACGGCUAACUACGUG